UAAUUUUGAUUAUAUCGUUAUGAAAAUUUGGCCACAUAGGUUAUUUGACAUGCUGAAUCGAAUAACAAUAGCGGUUUUCAACCAAAUAGUUCAGUUUGUUCCAAACAUCAAAAUUUUGGGGUGGGCAUAUACUUAUGACGCGCACUGUACAUGCAACUAAACCCCAACGCAAGGUGCAAUUAUUAGAACAGACCAAACGUUUUCGAACGUUGUUUGUUGACUCUGAAUACCGCAGUUUACUGUCAGUUUCGACUGAUUCUAUCCGAGAAGGGUGUCUGCCAUUUCAACUAGAUGGUAGUUUAUUGGACUACCAUGGUUGUUACGGGUAACGGAGAAUAAGGGUUCGACACCGGAGAGGGAGCCUUAGAAACGGCUACCACGUCCAAGGAAGGCAGCAGACGCGAAGCUUAUCCACUGUUGAGUAUGAGAUAGUGACUAAAAAUAUAAAGACUCAUCCUUUUGGAUGAGUUAUUUCAAUGAGUUCAAUAUAAAUGAUUCUUCGAGUAGCUUUCUGCGGUUAAAAAGCUCGUAAUUGGAUCUAGGUUACUUGAUGCAGUUCGCAAUUUGCGUUAACUGUGGUCGUGACUUCUAACUUGCUAUUUUGAGGUUGGGUUCGCCCUUCAACUUCCAGCAGGUUUACCUUGAAUAAAUCAGAGUGCUCAAUACAGGCGCUUGCUUGAAUAGCUCAUCAUGGAAUAAUGAAACAGGACUUCGGUUCUUUUUCUUGGUUCUAGAACUGAUUUAAUGGUUAAGAGGGACAAACCGGGAGUAUUCGUAUCAUUACGCGAGAGGUGAAAUUUGUGGACCGUAGUGAGACGCCCAACAGCGAAGCGAAAGCACAGAGGUUCGAAGGCGAUUAGAUACCGCCCUAGUUCUGAUCGUAAACGAUGCCAUCUCGCGAUUCGGGGGGUUUAUGCCCUGCCGAGGAGCUACCCGGAAACGAAAGUCUUUCGGUUCCG
rnacentral:ncRNA from 1 species